rnacentral:rRNA from 1 species
UGAACGCUGGCGGCGUGCUUAACACAUGCAAGUCGAACGGUGAACACGGAGCUUGCUCUGUGGGAUCAGUGGCGAACGGGUGAGUAACACGUGAGCAACCUGCCCCUGACUCUGGGAUAAGCGCUGGAAACGGCGUCUAAUACUGGAUAUGUGACGUGACCGCAUGGUCUGCGUCUGGAAAGAAUUUCGGUUGGGGAUGGGCUCGCGGCCUAUCAGCUUGUUGGUGAGGUAAUGGCUCACCAAGGCGUCGACGGGUAGCCGGCCUGAGAGGGUGACCAGCCACACUGGGACUGAGACACGGCCCAGACUCCUACGGGAGGCAGCAGUGGGGAAUCUUGCGCAAUGGGCGAAAGCCUGACGCAGCAACGCCGCGUGCGGGAAGAAGGCUUUCGGGCUGUAAACCGCUUUCAGCAGGAACGAAAAUGACGGUACCUGCAGAAGAAGGAGCGGCCAACUAUGUGCCAGCCG